rnacentral:rRNA from 1 species
CUCGUAGGCGGUUCGUCGCGUCCGGUGUGAAAGUCCAUCGCUUAACGGUGGAUCCGCGCCGGGUACGGGCGGGCUCGAGUGCGGUAGGGGAGACUGGAAUUCCCGGUGUAACGGUGGAAUGUGUAGAUAUCGGGAAGAACACCAAUGGCGAAGGCAGGUCUCUGGGCCGUCACUGACGCUGAGGAGCGAAAGCGUGGGGAGCGAACA